AACGAACGCUGGCGGCAGGCCUAACACAUGCAAGUCGAACGCUGUAGCAAUACAGAGUGGCAGACGGGUGAGUAACGCGUGGGAACAUGCCCUUCGGUUCGGAAUAACUCAGGGAAACUUGAGCUAAUACCGGAUACGCCCUUAGGGGGAAAGAUUUAUUGCCGAAGGAUUGGCCCGCGUCCGAUUAGCUAGUUGGUGAGGUAACGGCUCACCAAGGCGACGAUCGGUAGCUGGUCUGAGAGGAUGAUCAGCCACACUGGGACGGAGACACGGCCCAGACUCCUACGGGAGGCAGCAGUGGGGAAUAUUGGACAAUGGGCGCAAGCCUGAUCCAGCCAUGCCGCGUGAGUGAUGAAGGCCCUAGGGUUGUAAAGCUCUUUCGCCAGGGACGAUAAUGACGGUACCCACAGAAGAAGCCCCGGCUAACUUCGUGCCAGCCGCCGCCGUAACAC
rnacentral:rRNA from 1 species